GGAGCCGAGACUCCCCGGCCGCCCAGCGCUGUUUUGCUUGCUGUUGCUUACUCAAUAAAUUCCUUUCUAUUAUUAAUGCAAUGCUGUCUGAAAAUUAAUUAAGGGGGCAACUUAUAACAAAUUUGGUGCUGUGACUCGGAUGAAGGCAAUCUGAUUGAAAGACCUUUGGAGGGGGCGCCCCGCUGAUUUCAGCGGCCUUCGCUAGGAUUACUUUCAUUCAAAUCCUUCACCGACGAACCCUAAAUUCGGCAGCAAGCAAAUAAAGCCGGCAACCCCUAGUAAUCUUUGUGCACGAAGACCGAACGAAGACUCAGGAGUGAAAACGGCUAUUCGAACUGCAGAGAAAGGAUGGACGCAUGCCAGCCGUGUGAAAGGACCAAUCCGGGAAGGUAAAUGGGAGGCAGCUCCAGGCCCUGACGACUUGAAGCUGACACUAAGACGGACUCGAUAAGUAUUUUAUAUUAUCUGUGUAUCGUGGGAAGGGGAGGAGGCCCUGUUUCAAAGGCUCCCUAGUAGGUUCCCCUGAAGAACACUGCUGCUGCCAAGAAGAACCGAUACCUUGUAGUUCGCUGCAACCGAACUGACAAGUGAGGCAGAGAAGUGAAAACGGUGGGGGACUGAGGGGCUGACAAUUUAGAUGGGCUCCAACCACCUCCUACGAUACAUGGGAGUCAGUAUCAUCGUUUUGGUCAGCUAUGGGUCUGCGCAUCCCCAUCAGCCUUUUAAAUGGAGCUUGAUCAGAUGGAAGGAUCAAUUCGUUAUCCAGCAAACAACGACAGCGGGUGCUCCCAGUUUCCGCAUCACAUUAUGUGACCUGGUGUCAGUGCAGCCAUGCUUUAACCGAUCAGGAUUUUAUUUCUGCCCAAGUUCUAACCCAGGAAAGGGGUGAUAAUUAUACCAAGGAUUCUAUACCACCCUGAGGAUUAUAUGUACACCCAGACACAGUGGAAAGUCAUCAUCUGGAAAGAUGGGAACCAUUCACGGCUCUAACUUUGGCCACCCUAGUAAUCCUGGGAGGAGCUAGAGUGGGGACCAGGGUAGCCUCAUUGGUUAAACAAAAUCAAGAAUUUACUUCUUUAUGCAUUGCUGUGGACGAGGACCUGACCCAAAUUGAACAAUCCAUCUUGGCCCUGGAAAAUCUAUCAGGUUGCUUUCAGAGGUAGUGUUACAAAAUCAUAGGGGAUUAGAUUUGGUAUUCCUUUUACAACAGGACAGGCUGUGUGCAGCCCCGAAAGAGGAAUGCUGUGUGUAUGCUGAUCACACUGGAGAGGUAAGAGAUACAAUGGCAAGACCCAGGGAAGGGUUGAAAAAAAAAA